rnacentral:rRNA from 1 species
UGACGAAGGGGGGACGGUAGCGUUGCUCGGAAUCACUGGGCGUAAAGCGCACGUAGGCGGAUUGCUAAGUCAGGGGUGAAAUCCUGGAGCUCAACUCCAGAACUGCCCUUGAUACUGGCGGUCUCGAGUCCGGGAGAGGUGAGUGGAACUGCGAGUGUAGAGGUGAAAUUCGUAGAUAUUCGCAAGAACACCAGUGGCGAAGGCGGCUCACUGGCCCGGUACUGACGCUGAGGUGCGAAAGCGUGGGAGCAA